rnacentral:rRNA from 1 species
UAGCUAGUUGGUGAGGUAAAGGCUUACCAAGGCGACGAUCUGUAGCGGGUCUGAGAGGAUGAUCCGCCACACUGGAACUGAGACACGGUCCAGACUCCUACGGGAGGCAGCAGUGGGGAAUUUUGGACAAUGGGGGCAACCUGAUCCAGCCAUGCCGCGUGAGUGAAGAAGGCCUUCGGGUUGUAAAGCUCUUUCGGCCGGGAAGAAAUCGCAUGGGCCAAUACCCUGUGUGGAUGACGGUACCGGAAUAAGAAGCACCGCUAACUACGUGCCAGCAGCCGCGGUAAUACGUAGGGUGCGAGCGUUAAUCGGAAUUACUGGGCGUAAAGCGUGCGCAGGCGGUUUUGUAAGACAGGCGUGAAAUCCCCGGGCUUAACCUGGGAACUGCGUUUGUGACUGCAAGGCUAGAGUACGGCAGAGGGGGGUGGAAUUCCACGUGUAGCAGUGAAAUGCGUAGAGAUGUGGAGGAACACCAAUGGCGAAGGCAGCCCCCUGGGUCGAUACUGACGCUCAUGCACGAAAGCGUGGGUAGCAAACAGGAUUAGAUACCCUGGUAGUCCACGCCCUAAACUAUGUCAACUAGGUGUUGGGUGGGUAAAACCAUUUAGUACCGUAGCUAACGCGUGAAGUUGACCGCCUGGGGAGUACGGCCGCAAGGUUAAAACUCAAAGGAAUUGACGGGGACCCGCACAAGCGGUGGAUGAUGUGGAUUAAUUCGAUGCAACGCGAAAAACCUUACCUACCCUUGACAUGCCAGGAACUUGCCAGAGAUGGCUUGGUGCCCGAAAGGGAGCCUGGACACAGGUGCUGCAUGGCUGUCGUCAGCUCGUGUCGUGAGAUGUUGGGUUAAGUCCCGCAACGAGCGCAACCCUUGUCGUUAAUUGCCAUCAUUUAGUUGGGCACUUUAACGAGACUGCCGGUGACAAACCGGAGGAAGGUGGGGAUGACGUCAAGUCCUCAUGGCCCUUAUGGGUAGGGCUUCACACGUCAUACAAUGGUCGGUACAAAGGGUUGCCAAGCCGCGAGGCGGAGCCAAUCCCAGAAAGCCGAUCGUAGUCCGGAUUGCAGGCUGCAACUCGCCUGCAUGAAGUCGGAAUCGCUAGUAAUCGUGGAUCAGCAUGUCACGGUGAAUACGUUCCCGGGUCUUGUACACACCGCCCGUCACACCAUGGGAGCGGGUUCCGCCAGAAGUAGGUAGCCUAACCGCAAGGGGGGCGCUUACCACGGCGGGGUUCGUGACUGGGGUGAAGUCGUAACAAGGUAGCCGUAGAGGAACCUGCGGCUG